CAUACAGCUGUGGGCAAAGCAGCUGUGUGAUAUUCUGCCUCCCACAUCGUCAACCAAAUUGUCUGCUCAGUGUUCCUUCAUUACCGGUACUGACAGGGUAAGAGCGCCAGGACGUGAGGGCCGAUUCAUGUCAAUUAACUCUCUUCUUUCUCAGUGCCGGUGCUGUGUGAGACCGCAGAGCAGUGUUUGCUGAUGCUACCUGACAUAAACACCCUCUGCAGUGCAGGUUACCGGUGUGGGUGUCUGGUGCCCUCGUCUAGAGAUUCUGAGACGGCAGCUGUGGACCAGUCUCUGGAGGAUGCAUGGUUAGGAGGCUCCCUGGGGCGUGCUUACAGCAGAGACAAGGGACAGGUACUCCUUGAGAGCUGAGAGUGCCUGUUUUCUCCAAGCUGUGCUGUGCCGUACCUGAAAAAGGAGACUCCCUUUUGAGAAUCUUCCACUAAGAAGAACAACAGCUAACAUUGAAUUAUGCCUGGCACAGUGGUACGUUUAGAACGACUGCUCAUACUGAUCAGGCGGUGUGGUCUAGCGGAAGAAGAGGAGUUCAAAAACCAAAAGCUCUGGAAUUCCUCUGACACUGAAAUCCUGUGUAAAUCAAUUUUUUUACUACCUUCUUAUCACUACGUGUAAGAAGUGGUGAUGGUAUUAUUAUGAUAUUUGUAAAACUGUUUGGCUUAUAAAACUGUACUUGCCUGUGCAACAUGCUGCAGCUUACUUUAAAAUCAGGGGUCCUCCCGAGGGCAGCAGGGAUCCCUUCGCACGAGCGGGGAUGCCAGCAGGGCACUGCGGCGGCCCGAGAGUGAAACGCCGGAGACGUGCGGCUGGUCUCACCUCUGUCAAGGUGUGCGGCUUGGACGGUUACACCACAUCUCCGAAAUUCAUUUUCUCAAUUGGAAAAUGAGAAAAAUCAGUCAAACCAGUAGUUAAAUUUUUAACUUAAUAAAUAAUGCCUAAUGUAAUUUCAUUGUUGAAAAAAAUCCAAACAACGUGGGUGAAGUGGAAGCCCUCGCUGACUCCGAUCAAUCUCACCAAACCCCUGAGUGGUCACGACUGUAAACAACGUGGGGCAAUAGUCGUUCCACUCACUUCUGUCAAACAUGCCAUUCUUUACUAAUGUAUGGUCCUUGCUAUUUUACAUAAACGAUAGCAGAUCAGCACUCCUCAGUUCCUUUUGCGGGGCAGGGGGAAUUCUAAGAACGCAAUGAACCUCUAGUAUCUCCUUCCCUCCCUGAAAAUGUACACGUCCGCAACAUUUUGAAUAGAAAUCUUCAAGGAUAUUCCUGAAGCCCCUUGAGCCUCAUCCGUGGGUUCCUUCAUCUCUGCCUUCUGGAUUAAGAAGCCUGGACUAGAAGGUUGCAAGGGCUCUCCAGUUCAAAACUGAUGUCCCAUACUUUCAGGUGCAGGGCCAGUCUGAAUUUCUAAGCUCUCCAUGUCAACCCUUUCUCCGCUACUCCUUUCACACUAGAACAUUUGCUUUAUUUAAAUAAAAUUGCAUUUUUAUCAAA